UUAUCUCUACCUAGUUGCUACAAGGGGAAAAAGUCCUUAUAUAUAGCUAGCUGCUAGUAUAUUUUGCUUUGGUCUGUAUGUGGAUCUACUAUAGUUUCUAAUGGAGCGUCUUGUGUUACUCUUAUUUUAGUGAAGAUCUCUUCUAACAUGGACAAUAGUGUUGGCUUAAUUUCCUGUUGCAAUAAGCCGCCCCAUGUUGCUAGUACUAUUCAGUGGUGGUAUUAAGAUUUAAGCAUCCUCUUAUUGUUAAAAGAAGAUCUAAAGUUGGCUAACAUGCAUGUAUGAGAUGAACAUGAGAUGAACUUUGAUGAGAGGCAUGGGAAAUUAUUAAGUGUAUGUUUGGUUGGUGUAUUUAAGGUUGCCACUAUUUGUCACAAUGUUUAGUGUUUAGCUAGUCAUUUUUUUGUCUCUCAUGAAAUAAUUAACUUUGAUGAGAGCACGCUCAUUUUUUGUCUCCUCCGUAUAGGCAAAAGAGAGGUGUAAGCAUGCAUAUAUCCUUUGUUAUACUUUCCCCAACAUAGCCCUCUUCUCAUGUAGCAAUGUAGCGCCAAGAGGGUUGAUGCCCCCUCCCUCUCAUAGAAGCAACUCAUCGACGAUUUUUUGUUGGGCGUGAGAUAGUUCAUCGAGGUGGUCAUGCUGCUCAGGCACACCUGCAACCCGGUUCCAUCGAUCGGCUCUGAAUCACUGUUGAGUCGCUCUAGAACAACAUCCAUUUCUCAUUUCAUUUGAAUUAAAUUACAGAUUAUCCUAAUGUAUGUUCACAUACUUUGUUCUUUUUUCCUGUUCUGUGUGUACAAGUGAGUGACCCAUUGAUGAUCGAUCAAUGAUGUUGCAUAGACGUUGAGUGAAGGGUGAUGCGUGAGGAAAUUAGGUAUUUCCAUGAAAUUUGGUCCCAAACAAAUUCAUGAGGAUCUCUUCUAACAUGAAUAUUAGUGUUGGCUUGAUUUUCUGUUGCAAUAAGCCGCCCCAUGUUACUACUGUUCAAUGGUGGUAUUAAGAUUUAAGCAUCCUCUUAUUGUUAAAAGAAGAUUUAAAGUUGGCUAACAUGCAUGUAUGAGAUGAGAUGAACUUUGAUGAGAGGCAUGAGAAAUAAUUAAGUGUAUCUUUG
rnacentral:lncRNA from 1 species